AACGAACGCUGGCGGCAGGCCAAACACAUGCAAGUCGAGCGAGGACUUCGGUCCUAGCGGCGGACGGGUGAGUAACGCGUGGGAACGUGCCCUUUGCUUCGGAAUAGCCCUGGGAAACUGGGAGUAAUACCGGAUGAGCCCUUUGGGGGAAAGAUUUAUCGGCGAAGGAUCGGCCCGCGUUGGAUUAGGUAGUUGGUGGGGUAAUGGCCUACCAAGCCGACGAUCCAUAGCUGGUUUGAGAGGAUGAUCAGCCACACUGGGACUGAGACACGGCCCAGACUCCUACGGGAGGCAGCAGUGGGGAAUCUUAGACAAUGGGGGAAACCCUGAUCGAGCCAUGCCGCGUGAGCGAUGAAGGCCUUAGGGUUGUAAAGCUCUUUCAGCUGGGAAGAUAAUGACGGUACCAGCAGAAGAAGCCCCGGCUAACUCCGUG
rnacentral:rRNA from 1 species